CACCCCACCCCAACCCCAACCAAUACAGAAAUCAUCGCCCAAAUAAGACUACUGGGAGAACUUUCCCCAAUUCUUUUCUCUAAUCUGCCGCUACUUGACCUUCACCUUCACUGCCUCCCUUAACCUAUUUCAUUCCUAUACAUUCAUUGCUUCUGUCUUCCAGAUUACUCUCACCCAUAGCAAAUCUCCAUCCCUUUCUCUCUAUUGGUUGGUUUCUUUUGCUCUCAAAAUUUCCUUUAUCGUUUGGGAGUAGUUAUCAAAACCCUCUUCCCCAAAGGCUAUAUUAUCGUUUAUGCACAACUGUUUCAGUAGUUAUCAAAACCCUCUUCCUCAAAGCUGCAGGAGAGUGAUUCCCUUCCAGCAGUAAAAGUGGACGGUGAUGAUCGUCAGCAAGCACGUGGUCUUGCCACUCUUUACUCUCAUCCAGUUGAUUAGUAGUCUCUAUUGUUGAUCCUCAAACCUGGUGAGAACAUUAUUGAUUGUUGUGCUGCUCCAGGAGGGAAAACCUUGUUCAUGGCUUCCCGCUUGAAUGGACAAGGUACAUUAUUUGCCGUUGACAUAAAUGAAGGUCGGUUGCGGAUACUCAAAGAGACAGCCAAAUUGCACCAAGUUAUUGGUGUCAUCAGUACUAUUCAUGCUGACCUUUGAACUUUUUCUACCGAUAAGGUUGUAGAAUGGGAUAAAGUUUUGCUGCAUGCACCUUGUUCAGGGCUGGGUGUUCUUUCUAAGGUAGUAGUAGCUGGGACAUUUGAAAUGUAUAUUUCCUCUUUGUUUGCGAAAGCGAGCAGAUUUGCGCUGGAAUAGGAAACAGGAAGAUAUGGAGCAACUUAAACAUUUACAAGAUGAGCUUCUCGAUUCAGCUUCCAGAAAUAUAUUGAGUAGCUUUUUCCUAGUAAUGUUGGUGACUGGUGAGGAUAAUGCAAGUUGAGAAGCGGAUCAAAAUAAGGUUGGUGAAGCCAGGUGGAGUUCUAAUAUACAGCACAUGUUCCAUUGACCCUGAAGAAAAUGAGGAAAGAAUUGAAGCUUUUCUUCUAAGGCAUCCAAUAAGAAUUUUGACUGGAAAUUGCUUUAUCUCUUAUCUUUAAAGUUGGUUCUUUCAUAAAAAUUAGAUGUAGCACAUAUAUUAUGCUCAAAGUUCUAUGUGAAAAGGGGUAGAAUUAUUAAUCAUGUACCAUAUUGGGUGAACCAAGCAUAUUGUGAAAUGAUCUGUAGUUGAGUAUGGAAAAACCUCUCUUGAGCAUUAUGCUUUUAGCAUUCAAUGCUUCUAGAAACCUUUUUAGAGAUGGCCUGUCAUUUUAGAUUCCCUUUAGGUUGAGUCGAUGACUUCCUUCUGAAUGUAUUUUCUUGCUCUGAUGAUAUCCUGCUAAGUUCUUCAGCCUUGCUUCCAAUUUGGAAAUUAAAUUCCUGAACUGUACUAUGUUGCAUCCUCCUCUUUAGAAACUUUCCCCUGGUGGACUUAUAUUAGUCUAGGUUAAUGACUGAAGAAGACCAUUGACAUUUGCUUUUUAAUUUAUAAGGAUCAAGUAGUUGCUAAUGUGGAGGCUAGGAUAGCUGCCUGGACGUUCCUUCCUGAAGAGUGGGGUAUCUUGAAGAGUUAUAAUAUUCACCUUAUAGCGUAAGGCAAGUCUUGUUAUGCUGGUAAUAAGCAUUAUGAUGUCUCUCUAAUUAGAUGCUAUGGUAGAUCGUGACGACAAGCUCUCUGAAAAAAAGAUGAAGAAAUCACCAAGCUUAAACAAAAGCAUGCCAAUGAAAUAACUUCUCUGAAGGAAGAAAUGAAGGAAGUGAUGAGAGAAGAAAUGCGAUGUUUUUUUAGUCAAUUGGUGAAAAACAACCUUGGACUGGAUUUUAAUGAUAUACAAGGGUGUGCUGGAUCUAAUAUUCCUUCACCAGUUGAUGCACGAGCUAUGAGAGGCCAAAAUCUGCCACAUUCUUCUGGCUCAACUCACGCCCCAAGUCUUGAAAAGGAAAAUACGGGUGAUGCAAUUGGAUAUGGUGGUCACAAAUCCAUUUGAUUCAUUAAAGUGAAUGGUGAAGACCUUUUGAACAAUUGGGAUGUUUAUUUUUAUUGAUUCUAUAAAUAUGAAUACAUUUGGUUU